rnacentral:misc_RNA from 1 species
GGUUCCACUCUCACUUUGCAACCCCAUCGACACCUCUUCUUCUUUGCUAAAACCCCCACUUCUCCAUUUCUCUCAAUCUAUCGCUAACACCAUUAAUCUCAAAAUCAGAUUCACUUUCACUUCUAAACCCUUGAUCGUUAGCCCCUUGCACUCUACCCAAUGUCUAAUCGCCGCCCGUGCGGCGGACCAUGCUGUUUCUUCUGCUGCUACCUCUGAGAUCGACAUGGUCAGGAACAGACAAGGAGUCUACACUUCUAAACAGAAUAAGGUCGUCGUUUUAUGGGACCUCGAUAACAAGCCGCCACGUGGCGCACCGUAUCCGGCUGCAAUGGCUCUUAAGCAGCUCGCUCAGAGGUUCGGGGACAUUAUAGAGAUGUCAGCUUAUGCCAAUCGUCAUGCUUUUGUCCAUCUCCC